rnacentral:rRNA from 1 species
GAUGAACGCUAGCGAUAGGCCUAACACAUGCAAGUCGAGGGGCAGCACAUGAGUAGCAAUACGAUGGUGGCGACCGGCGCACGGGUGAGUAACACGUAUGCAACCUACCUUUAACAGGGGAAUAACCCGUUGAAAAACGGACUAAUACUCCAUAACACAGGGGUCCCGCAUGGGAAUAUUUGUUAAAGAUUUAUCGGUGGAAGAUGGGCAUGCGUUCCAUUAGCUUGUUGGUGAGGUAACGGCUCACCAAGGCCACGAUGGACAGGGGAACUGAGAGGUUUAUCCCCCACACUGGAACUGAGACGCGGUCCAGACUCCUACGGGAGGCAGCAGUGAGGAAUAUUGGUCAAUGGAGGCAACUCUGAACCAGCCAAGUCGCGUGAAGGAUGAAGGUCUUAUGGAUUGUAAACUUCUUUUGCAAGGGAAUAAAGUGGGGGACGUGUCCUCCUUUGCAUGUACCUUGCGAAUAAGGAUCGGCUAACUCCGUGCCAGCCGCCGCGGUAA